rnacentral:rRNA from 1 species
UAGUCCACACCGUAAACGAUGAAUGCCAGUCGUCGGGUAGUAUACUAUUCGGUGACACACCUAACGGAUUAAGCGUUCCGCCUGGGGAGUACGGUCGCAAGAUUAAAACUCAAAGGAAUUGGACGGGGGCCUGAACAAGCGGUGGAGCAUGUGGUUUAAUUCGACGCAACGCGCAGAACCUUACCAGCCCUUGACAUGGGCACUAUGGUUUCAAGAGAUUGAUUCCUUCAGUUCGGCUGGGUGCCACACAGGUGUUGCAUGGCUGUCGUCAGCUCGUGUCGUGAGAUGUUGGGUUAAGUCCCGCAACGAGCGCAACCCUCGUCUUUAGUUACCAUCAGGUUAUGCUGGGGACUCUAAAGAAACUGCCGGUGAUAAGCCGGAGGAAGGUGGGGAUGACGUCAAGUCCUCAUGGCCCUUACGGGGCUGGGGCUACACACGUGCUACAAUGGCGAUGACAGUGGGGAAGC